rnacentral:rRNA from 1 species
UAGGGAAUCUUCGGCAAUGGACGAAAGUCUGACCGAGCAACGCCGCGUGAGUGAAGAAGGCUUUCGGAUCGUAAAACUCUGUUGUUAGAGAAGAACAAGGACGUUAGUAACUGAACGUCCCCUGACGGUAUCUAACCAGAAAGCCACGGCUAACUACGUGCCAGCAGCCGCGGUAAUACGUAGGUGGCAAGCGUUGUCCGGAUUUAUUGGGCGUAAAGCGAGCGCAGGCGGUUUCUUAAGUCUGAUGUGAAAGCCCCCGGCUCAACCGGGGAGGGUCAUUGGAAACUGGGAGACUUGAGUGCAGAAGAGGAGGGUGGAAUUCCAUGUGUAGCGGUGAAAUGCGUAGAUAUAUGGAGGAACACCAGUGGCGAAGGCGGCUCUCUGGUCUGUAACUGACGCUGAGGCUCGAAAGCGUGGGGAGCAAACAGG